UGGGUCUUCUGUGAGAGACAUGCUUAGAAAAGAUUAAGCGCCAGCUUGCUUCCGGUUUGCAUCGGAACUUGCUCCAGAACCCAAUUACCUUUUUCCUAAUUAACUAUAAAUGGCUUCUCUACAUUGGGUUUGGGUGAUUCAGAGGUUGCUGAAAUUGUCAUUAAGUUUGGAGCUUCUGGAUUUUCGAUAAGGAUGAACACAGUAUCGACACAAGUUGUCUGAGGCUUACAUUCCAGAAGUUCUAGCAGACUGUGGCUAAGCUUAAAGGACUACACCAAUUGAUAUGGAAUUGGCAAGAUUUUAAAUAUUUUUGCGGGGAUUUUCUUUUUUGAAUCGACCCCCUACAAUUUCUUAAUCAUCAGCCUAAGCCCUCACUUAUUUACCAUAAUACUUAACUUUUAGUUCAGUACUAUGACCAAUUGCUUGAGAC